AUUGAACGCUGGCGGCGUGCCUAACACAUGCAAGUCGAGCGGUAACAGGUGUAGCAAUACAUGCUGACGAGCGGCGAACGGGUGAGUAAUGCUUCGGAAUCUACCCAAUGGUGGGGAAUAACCAGCCGAAAGGUUGGCUAAUACCGCAUACGUCCCACGGGAGAAAGCAGGGGAUCGCAAGACCUUGCGCCAAUGGAUGAGCCGAAGUCGGAUUAGCUAGNGGUAGGGUAACGGCCUACCAAGGCGACGAUCCGUAGCUGGUCUGAGAGGACGACCAGCCACACUGGGACUGAGACACGGCCCAGACUCCUACGGGAGGCAGCAGUGGGGAAUAUUGGACAAUGGGGGAAACCCUGAUCCAGCGACGCCGCGUGUGUGAAGAAGGCCUGCGGGUUGUAAAGCACUUUUAGU
rnacentral:rRNA from 1 species